GGGUUGUGAGGUUAAGCGACUAAGCGUACACGGUGGAUGCCCUGGCAGUCAGAGGCGAUGAAGGACGUGCUAAUCUGCGAAAAGCGUCGGUAAGGUGAUAUGAACCGUUACAGCCGGCGAUGUCCGAAUGGGGAAACCCAGUGCAAUUCGUUGCACUAUCGUUAACUGAAUACAUAGGUUAACGAGGCGAACCGGGGGAACUGAAACAUCUAAGUACCCCGAGGAAAAGAAAUCAACCGAGAUUCCCCCAGUAGCGGCGAGCGAACGGGGAGCAGCCCAGAGUCUGAAUCAGCUUGUGUGUUAGUGGAACGGUCUGGAAAGUCCGACGGUACAGGGUGAUAGUCCCGUACACCAAAAUGCACAGGCUGUGAACUCGAAGAGUAGGGCGGGACACGUGGUAUCCUGUCUGAAUAUGGGGGGACCAUCCUCCAAGGCUAAAUACUCCUGACUGACCGAUAGUGAACCAGUACCGUGAGGGAAAGGCGAAAAGAACCCCGGCGAGGGGAGUGAAAAAGAACCUGAAACCGUGUACGUACAAGCAGUGGGAGCACCUUCGGGUGUGACUGCGUACCUUUUGUAUAAUGGGUCAGCGACUUAUAUUCUGUAGCAAGGUUAACCGUAUAGGGGAGCCGCAGGGAAACCGAGUCUUAACUGGGCGUUAAGUUGCAGGGUAUAGACCCGAAACCCGGUGAUCUAGCCAUGGGCAGGUUGAAGGUUGGGUAACACUAACUGGAGGACCGAACCGACUAAUGUUGAAAAAUUAGCGGAUGACUUGUGGCUGGGGGUGAAAGGCCAAUCAAACCGGGAGAUAGCUGGUUCUCCCCGAAAGCUAUUUAGGUAGCGCCUCGUGAAUUCAUCUUCGGGGGGUAGAGCACUGUUUCGGCUAGGGGGUCAUCCCGACUUACCAACCCGAUGCAAACUACGAAUACCGAAGAAUGUUAUCACGGGAGACACACGGCGGGUGCUAACGUCCGUCGUGAAGAGGGAAACAACCCAGACCGCCAGCUAAGGUCCCAAAGUCAUGGUUAAGUGGGAAACGAUGUGGGAAGGCACAGACAGCCAGGAUGUUGGCUUAGAAGCAGCCAUCAUUUAAAGAAAGCGUAAUAGCUCACUGGUCGAGUCGGCCUGCGCGGAAGAUGUAACGGGGCUAAACCAUGCACCGAAGCUGCGGCAGCGACACUAUGUGUUGUUGGGUAGGGGAGCGUUCUGUAAGCCUGCGAAGGUGACCUGUGAGGGUUGCUGGAGGUAUCAGAAGUGCGAAUGCUGACAUAAGUAACGAUAAAGCGGGUGAAAAGCCCGCUCGCCGGAAGACCAAGGGUUCCUGUCCAACGUUAAUCGGGGCAGGGUGAGUCGACCCCUAAGGCGAGGCCGAAAGGCGUAGUCGAUGGGAAACAGGUUAAUAUUCCUGUACUUGGUGUUACUGCGAAGGGGGGACGGAGAAGGCUAUGUUAGCCGGGCGACGGUUGUCCCGGUUUAAGCAUGUAGGCUGGUUGUCCAGGCAAAUCCGGAUAAUCAAGGCUGAGGUGUGAUGACGAGGCACUACGGUGCUGAAGUAACAAAUGCCCUGCUUCCAGGAAAAGCCUCUAAGCAUCAGGUAACAUCAAAUCGUACCCCAAACCGACACAGGUGGUCAGGUAGAGAAUACCAAGGCGCUUGAGAGAACUCGGGUGAAGGAACUAGGCAAAAUGGUGCCGUAACUUCGGGAGAAGGCACGCUGGUGUGUAGGUGAAGUCCCUGCGGAUGGAGCUGAGACCAGUCGAAGAUACCAGCUGGCUGCAACUGUUUAUUAAAAACACAGCACUGUGCAAACACGAAAGUGGACGUAUACGGUGUGACGCCUGCCCGGUGCCGGAAGGUUAAUUGAUGGGGUUAUCCGUAAGGAGAAGCUCUUGAUCGAAGCCCCGGUAAACGGCGGCCGUAACUAUAACGGUCCUAAGGUAGCGAAAUUCCUUGUCGGGUAAGUUCCGACCUGCACGAAUGGCGUAAUGAUGGCCAGGCUGUCUCCACCCGAGACUCAGUGAAAUUGAACUCGCUGUGAAGAUGCAGUGUACCCGCGGCAAGACGGAAAGACCCCGUGAACCUUUACUAUAGCUUGACACUGAACAUUGAGCCUUGAUGUGUAGGAUAGGUGGGAGGCUUUGAAGCGUGGACGCCAGUCUGCGUGGAGCCAACCUUGAAAUACCACCCUUUAAUGUUUGAUGUUCUAACGUUGGCCCCUUACCGGGGUUGCGGACAGUGUCUGGUGGGUAGUUUGACUGGGGCGGUCUCCUCCCAAAGCGUAACGGAGGAGCACGAAGGUUAGCUAAUCCUGGUCGGACAUCAGGAGGUUAGUGCAAUGGCAUAAGCUAGCUUGACUGCGAGCGUGACGGCGCGAGCAGGUGCGAAAGCAGGUCAUAGUGAUCCGGUGGUUCUGAAUGGAAGGGCCAUCGCUCAACGGAUAAAAGGUACUCCGGGGAUAACAGGCUGAUACCGCCCAAGAGUUCAUAUCGACGGCGGUGUUUGGCACCUCGAUGUCGGCUCAUCACAUCCUGGGGCUGAAGUAGGUCCCAAGGGUAUGGCUGUUCGCCAUUUAAAGUGGUACGCGAGCUGGGUUUAGAACGUCGUGAGACAGUUCGGUCCCUAUCUGCCGUGGGCGCUGGAGAAUUGAGGGGGGCUGCUCCUAGUACGAGAGGACCGGAGUGGACGCAUCACUGGUGUUCGGGUUGUCAUGCCAAUGGCACUGCCCGGUAGCUAAAUGCGGAAGAGAUAAGUGCUGAAAGCAUCUAAGCACGAAACUUGCCCCGAGAUGAGUUCUCCCUGAGACUUUAAGUCUCCUGAAGGAACGUUAAAGACGAUGACGUUGAUAGGCCGGGUGUGUAAGCGCAGCGAUGCGUUGAGCUAACCGGUACUAAUGAACCGUGAGGCUUAACCUUACAACGCCGAAG
rnacentral:rRNA from 1 species